AUACAACAUGUAGAACUGAUCCAAGUACUUCUGUUGCAUCCGCAUUCUAGCCUUCAGCAGCUUGGAUUCAACAACUUCUUCGUCAAAUAUCACCUGGUUAAUUAUAAUGUUGUGUGUAUCGAUCUCAAAUUUAGCAAGUUCCUGAACUAGUCUUUCAGUCUCAUAUAGGGAGAGGAAUUCCGGAAUGCAAACACAAACAAAUGUUGUCAAGUCUGGGUCCUUAAACUGUCUGUUCACUUCUUCAAUAAUAUCUUUCAUGCCUUCUAGCUUGCCAAGGAGAGCAGCCUCCCCAAAUUCCUCAUCAACACCCAAUAGUCGAGUCAUCUGACUCAGCAUGCCCCCAAAUCUACUCUUUAAACUCAUCACUUUGGCGAGCCCUUUCUCUAGAGUCGACGGGAAUUGUAACAGCCGAAGAGUAUGUCCAGUUGGGGCCGUAUCAAACACUAUUACUGAAUAGUCCAUUGUUUGCACCAAUUUUAGCAUCUCGGCAAAACUCAUAGCUUCAUCAAUUCCAGGAAUUGCAUUUGCCAAAUCAGACAAAAAAUCGUCCAUCCCAUCUGAACUGAUUGAGUCUUCUUUCUCCACAGUUGGAUCGAUUUCCAUGGCAUACAAAUUGGAGAAGCCAUUAACAAGAGUGGGGGACUUGGUAAAGCGUUGCUGGAAGGCAUCACUGAGAUUGUGAGCAGGGUCAGUAGAUAUGAUAAGAACAGAGGAUCUGAACUGUGAAAGAAGAAUACCAAGAAUUGAACUACAUGUAGUUUUUCCAACCCCACCUUUACCCCCUACAAAUACCCACUUAAGGGUAUCUUGUUCUAGCACGUUUUGAACUGUUGCUUCUGGUAAAUCUUGAUUAUUGGAAGCCAUGGAUAUAGGGGAAAUUCCAAAAGACUAGGGAGAGAAAAUAGAGAGACCAAAAGAAGAAGAGUCUGGUUUGUUAUAAUUAGAAACUUGAAUUUGUUUGUU
rnacentral:misc_RNA from 1 species